CAUACAUAUUGGGCUCACUGACUCAGCGAGAAAGCACUUGUGGCUUAUGGCAGCCCAUCCACUGUGGACUUUCAGCUCCAAAUAGAAGGGACCACGUGUCGAUACUCCAGUUUUCUCCAGCAAUCUAGACUUUCCUCUCCAGUGGAUAGAUGAGCAUGUUGGACUAUGAAGUGGGUGCCACUGAGGCAGAAGGAAUGUUCUCUGAGGCCUGCUGGUGGACAGCUGGAGGGCAGGGCAUCGAGAGGAACAUCUCUGUUGACCUUGGUACAAAUCAGGAAAUCCUCCAGGAUCCUUAGGAAAUCCCAGUUCUGAGAAACCAGCCACACUGUGUUGCAGGCUUGUGAAGAGGCUUCUGCAAGGUUCAAGCUCUGUGGCCCCAGACUAUGUAUGUGAAGCACACUGGUGCACCAGAAUUCAAUUCCUGUGUGUCACUCUUUGUCAUGAGGAGCUGAUCAAAGUCAUAGAGUUCAGAGAGCCUUCUGAGGAACAGUUGUGUCUGGAGACCUAAAGAAAGAUUACACCCUAAAUGUGUUGUAUCCUGUAAAUAAACAUUGCAAGUUAUAGUUCACCUAAUAUGGAAUGAAUAAACACGGUGGAGAAAAACUAAUAUUAUUAUCCUCAUGCAAACUUAGAGUGUUGAAAUACAGCAACAUCAUCCACUUACGUCUGCAGUAGUGAUCAAAAUUGACACACGGGGCCUGACAGGUCUACCUUCCUGAGGACUGAUGUGCUGGUGUACACAGGAGGAAAGAUGGAACAGGGCGAUGACAUUCUGGGUGCUGAGGAAAGAGCUCAGUUUGAAAGCUUCAAAGGGGCUGUGAGGUCCUGGACUCAGAAGUAAGUCAUUUGAUUUUUCUUCAGAAAUGGAAAACUCAAUUUCCUCUUAUGAACUCCUCUACUGUUAGAAACCAUUGAGAGUGACAGAGCCUGAGGCUUCUUCUAACCUGGCAUCUUCACAGAGGGUGGCUCUUCUGGGUUUUCAUCAGCUGCCUACAGCAUGGGAGACAUCCCAUAUUAAAUUCCCUUGCAUAUCCCAGAAAAGUGCCAUAAUCACCAGGCUUUGUUUGGACUGGAUUGGAGGACAAGAAGGAAGCACAAAGCAGAGGAGCUGGAGGAAAGCACUGUCCCAGUCUAAAUGUUCCUGUCAAAUUCACAAUAUAGCCCAGGAGUCUGGGCACCCCUCUGUGAGCUGGAGCCUUGGGUCCCUUGACGAGAUGAGGUACAGCGAGGACUUAAGCCUUCCUACUCCCUGCCAGCAGGGGCUGUAGACAGUGGAUAAUUGUUUGUACAUGUAUUCUGACCAGAAAUUCUUUCCACAUUGAAACAGUAUAUACACUAUUGUUGAGGGCUUUCUUUCACAAACUGAUUUUUUUAUUUUAAAAAUGAAUCCCUUUAAACAUUCCCGGCCAGCUCCACAGUGUAUGUGCUGAAGACAUGACUACAUACACAUUUUUACUUCAAUAUUAUUGUCUUGUUGUUGUUGUUGUUCUGUUGAAGUUUUUUCUGUCUGAUCCAAUGUCAAAAUUACAAAGACCAUGUGAUGCAAGUAUUACAGUGUCUUACCUCGUACAUACAUAGAGUGUGAUUUUCAGAACAUCACGUCCAUGGUUUCCCAGCUUCAGGCACAUGCAGAAUUUUUGUUGUCCAGUUGAGCUUUUGUACAAUUAGUCACUCCAUACUUUUUUUACAGCCAUUACAGCAAGGGCAUGAAUCUUAUUUUUCUCUAAAUAAUAUCAUGGAUUUCAAUUCAACAGUGGCAAGAAUGUAACAUUCCUUCUGCAAAAUUUGUUCUUGCACAUUAAAACUGAUCAUAGUCAACAGAAAAUAAGUCUGUUUUUCCAAGAAAUAAUCAUUUAAGCCAGGUCUUAGCUAUGUCGUAUUGGAAUGACAACAGCCUACUCAGAUAUAUGUUUACUGCAUGCUGUCCUGUCUGCUAAUACAGGACAUCUCCAUUAACACUGAGGGGCAGCGGAAGCCCUUCCAGAAUGAAACUCUAUGUGAACUCAUUUAUUUUGUUCUUGCUGUGGGGAUAUCGCCUACUGAUUGACUGUACCCUGUAGUGCCAUGGCUGGACACCUGUCCAUGAGUAGGGACAGGUUAUACAGAACAGCUGGAUUGGUCAAAUCUUCAACCAGAUGGGCAGUAAGUUUGAUCACUGUUGCUUACCGGUCUGGGAUCAAACUUGCAGGUAACUGGAGUAUGUCAUGCUGCCUGGCAGGGCUUUAACUUGCAGACUUAACUUUUCUCAGGAGAAAACUAUGCCAGAUUCUGGCCUUUGAAGAUUUCGGUAAACUUCUUUUUCAGGAAAAAAAAAAAAAAGGUUGCCAACUGGGAUUUUUCAUGAGUUGUCUGCUUUUCAAAGAUCUUUAUGAAAGGGGCUUAGUUAAGGGCAUUGCUGAGGGAAACUAAUUAUAAUUUUCAAAUAUGUUAGACUUAAAUAAACAUUUAAUUAAAGUGAGACCAGCUCUUUCAGCCAUUGCCUGUCUUCUCAUUUUUGUAGAGUUGAGGAGUUCUGGGGAAUUCCUGAUAUUACAUUUUUUUUGACAGUGUCAGCAAAUUCUUCAAACUAACCUUCAGUACUUCCUUUCUUUUCUCUUCCCUCCCUCCCAACUCCUUUUCUCAGAGACUUUAGCCUACUUUUUGUCUCUUAAUUUUCCAUUUUCCCUCUAAUUCUUGCAACCUCCAGUCUCCUCCUGACCUUUCCCUCCUUGCCCAUUACUCCCUGAUCCUUUCCCCAUGUUUUUCUUUCCCAGUCUCUCUUUCCCCAAACCAUCUGAAACUCACCCACAAGCAGGGUUAUAUCCCCAGUAGCCUCUCCCUAGAGAAUGCCCUGAAACAUUAGCUCUCAG